CACAGACACAAGAGAAGUUGCCAGACUCCAGACUCCACUUUUGACCAGCCACACGCUUUAAAAAGAAGAAGUAUAAACUGUCAACAACUAUAUAAAAGAUUAUUCAAAAUCUAAAAAAAAAAAAAAAUUU